rnacentral:rRNA from 1 species
GACAUUAUCUAUCUAUUAGUCUUGACCAAAUUACGUGCCAGCAGUCGCGGUAAUACGUAGAAGACAAGUGUUAUUCAUCUUUAUUAGGUUUAAAGAGUACCAAGACGGUUAAUAAAGCCCAAAAAAAAUGAAUACGGGGGACACAUUGACUAGAGUUAUAUGAAAGGAAGCUCUAAGGUACUGUUGAGUGUAGAGAUGAAAUUCUAUAAUACCAGAUAAUUGGCACAGAUUUAUGCGAAGGCAUCUUCUUAUGUAAUAACUGACGUUGUAGGACGAAGGCUUAGAAAGUUAAAAGGAUUAGGUACCCCAGUAAUCUAGGCAGAAAAUGAUGAAUGUCAUAGGUUGAAUACAGACAGGUUAAAUUGACUAUCUAAUAGUAAAUUGGUGGUAUAUUAAUCAGUCUAUUAUUCUGUCUAUAAAUGAAAGUGUAAGCAUUCCACCUCAAGAGUAAUUUGGCAACAUUGGAACUGAAAUCAUUAGACCGUUUCUGAAACCAGUAGUGAAGUAUGUUGUUUAAUUAGAUGAUACACAAAAACCUUACCACAAUUUGAAUAUAUAUAAUAUAUAUUUAUUUCAAUAUAUAUAAAAUAUAUUUACMAGCGCUGCACGGCUGUCUACAGUUAAUGUCGUGAGAC